CCUUCCUUGUUCUAUGAACUUCAGACACCUGAAAUGUGGGCUCCUGGUGCCAAAGGGGCCAUCAGAAAGGACAGAGAAGGGUGCCCGUGAGAAGGGGCACAGCACUCACGUCAGGGAAGGACUGUGGGGGGGCGGGGAUGGAAAUGCAGAACGCACACAGAUAUGCAGAGCACAGAGACGGCGAGUGGGGCAGAGGGGCGCACUCUGCACAAAAAUGGAACAGCCAAUCUGGAGCAGUGGCUCACACUUGUCAUCCCAGCGACUCUGGGAGGCUGAGAUUCAGAUGGCAACAUGGUCCAGUAACAGAAGACUUUUUAUGGAACCUUUCCCAGGAGACCCGAUUCCGUAAGGGGAGCAGGUGGCCCUGGUCGCUGGAAGGAAAGGUGACCACAGACCCAGCGCCUCAGGAACAUCCCCCGCACUCACGGCUAAGCCUGUCCCCAGGGAAAUCCUGAGAAAUGGAAUUUCUCCUGGAUCAUGGUGGCAGAGGGGUGGCUGGAGCUCGUGUCCUGUGUUCAGGACCUGCUCCUGAGGCUAAACAGGUUGGGAGAACUUUCACCUGGCAGAGCCUCAAGCGCACCUGGCACCCAACAUGGAGCAAACACAAAGCAUUUAGAAUCUCAGUGAACACAGGCCUCUGAUGCAGGAAACCACCAGGUUCCCCAGUUCCACCAAGGAAGACGCAUCGGUUCCCUGUGAAAACAUCUGUGACUUUAUGUACGAAUAAAACUUAUGUAACUUUA
rnacentral:lncRNA from 1 species